CAGUAAUGCUUAGCUCAGUGAAGCAUCUCAGUUCCAGUUCCAGUAGCAGAAAAGAACUCUCUCCUGCAUUUUCCCUAUAUAAAUCACUUUGUCUCUAGUUUUCUCUUGUAGAGUCAAUGGAAGCAGUGUUCAAAUGACAUGCCAGUUUUCCUGAUUGUCCAUCAAGUUGAAAGCAUACAUGAGUGUUCUUUGCUCAUCUAGGUCCAUCUAGCCCUGAUCUCUGGUACAAAACACUGUCUGUUGGUUGGAACGUAGGGGCGUAGGAGAACCUACUGCUUUUGGUCCUAAGAGCAGCAGAGCAGCAUCCAGGACAGCCAACCUCCUCAGUGGUGGUGCCAACUACAGCCCCUCUUAGAGUUGUGCUGGACCUACCUUUGCAUCCCUUCAUGGAGCUGAGAUGGAUAUUUCAGAUCCUCUUGGUGAUGAGAGUCCUGUCUGGACACUUGCCAAUGUUCAGGAUGCUUUGACGUAAACACUGGGCUGACCUGUAGGAUGUCCCCAUGUAAACUGACUAUACAAGCUCAGAUUUUUCCUAAGCUGGCCAGACCUCUUGAAGCAGUCCAAAGAAUGUUGCAUUAAUGUAUGGGAAGAGACUUAAUCUACUUUUACAUCCAUUUUCAAUAAACCACAAUUUUCUCCAAAACAUCUGCCUAAAACCUUUGCCUCCCAACUUGAAAUAUGUUUCUGAAAGUAAUAAGAUUUUCAAUUACACCAGCAAAGUAGAUAUUAACAUUUAUAUCUCUGAGUAUCAGGACUUCCCAUCCCUCAAGAGAUGUCUCCUCUGUAUCUUUGCAAACUUGAUAAAUGAAGUACGAUAAAUUCAACUGAUGUCCCACCUUCAUAGCAGGGUUAUUAUAAAACAGGGAAAAGAAUGAUCCUACAGUAAGGGGAAUCAGAAAAAAUCUCCCUGUGUUCUUAGUAUACCCAGAAAUUUCUGGCAAAAAUUAGGAAAAGGUGUUUCACUCCAGUAUGUGCACAUAACUGUAAGGGCAGCUUGCCAUAUGCUUCACUCAUUUACAGAAAAUAUCCCUGGGAUAGAUGACCCAACUGUACAAAAAUAACAGCCUGGUGAUAAAUUUAAUGUGCAGCUUUGACCUACUGUCUUUCUAAUACUCCAUCUCCUCAGGACUUUCUCAUUUCCCAGCCCCCUCACCUGUGGCUCUGUCUUCC